ensembl:snoRNA
GGGUUGUGCUCAGAGCAUGGAGCCUGAAGAAAUGGCUCCUGCUUACACCAGACCCAACAGGAAUCUGGGUUAUUGUGACAAGGGGCACAAAACUCGUGGCCUUCCUCUGAACAAGUACCCUACACGU